rnacentral:rRNA from 1 species
AGCGAACGCUGGCGGCAGGCCUAACACAUGCAAGUCGAACGAACCUUUCGGGGUUAGUGGCGGACGGGGGAGUAACACGUGGGAACGUGCCUUUAGGUUCGGAAUAACUCAGGGAAACUUGUGCUAAUACCGAAUGUGCCCUUCGGGGGAAAGAUUAAUCGCCUUUAGAGCGGCCCGCGUCUGAUUAGCUAGUUGGUUGAGGUAAUGGCUCACCAAGGCGACGAUCAGUAGCUGGUCUGAGAGGAUGAUCAGCCACAUUGGGACUGAGACACGGCCCAAACUCCUACGGGAGGCAGCAGUGGGGAAUCUUGCGCAAUGGGCGAAAGCCUGACGCAGCCAUGCCGCGUGAAUGAUGAAGGUCUUAGGAUAGUAAAAUUCUUUCACCGGGGACGAUAAUGACGGUACCCGGAGAAGAAGCCCCGGCUAACUUCGUG